CCGCGCGUAGUGUCUCUUCCACAAAAGUGGAAAGUUAGUCGUGCACGUCUCUGAUCUCUCCUUUUCUCCUUCAUCAAUGAGCUCAAAGCUUCAAGUUUGAAAUCACUUGAGCAAUAGAACUUCUAUACAUGGCCUCAAAAUUAUUACUUACUCAGUUGAAAGCAUCCAAUUCUUCGAUUUGUUACCAUACUGAACACUCUUAUAAGUUUGGAUUCUCAACGUAUUCUUCUUCCAAGCGGAAAUUAAGAUUCAAGCUUGAAGCGCAGUCUCUUGGAGAUAAAUGGAAGUUAAAUGACAUCGAUACCAGUGCAGUUCAAGAAAAACUGCACUCAUGGAUGUCUAGAACCCAAAGUUUUUUCAAUGAUGUGACUUUGCCAUUGGUAAAAACUGGUCAGAGUGGCAAGUCUGACCCCAGAAAUGCAUUGGAUGCUCAAGAUGUGGAGGACAUAUUUAUGGCUGAGCAGACAAUUUGACAGUCGCACGCCAAAUGGGAUUCUUUCUUUAGCUGCGAUUGUGUCUAUUGAACAAUUCAGCAGGAUGAAUGGAUUGACUGGAAAGAAAAUGCUGAAUAUUUUUAAAGCCCUUGUUCCUGAGUCUCUGUAUAUGGAUGCCCGUAAUUGGGUGGAGUACUGCUGCUUUAGGUUCUUGUCAAGGGACAGCUCAGAGAUCCAUCCCAAUCUCAAGGUCUGAGGAUCUAGUAUAGCCCUU